rnacentral:rRNA from 1 species
CAGCAGUCAAGAAUAUUAGUCAAUGCUCGCAAGAGUGAACUAGCUAACUGAAAUCCUUGAUGUGUCAUCGAGGAUAAGGUAAGGGAAAAUAAUGAUAUUACCUUACUAUUAGUGUCGUCCAAAGCUCGUGCCAGAAGACUCGGUAAUGCGAGAGACACAAACGUUAAUCGUCUUGAUCAGGCGUAAAGGGUAUGUAGGCGGCUUUAAGUACCCUGUUUUUAAGUUUACCGUUAUAUCUCACUUUAUCCCAAACGUACGUAAAAAUACGUAGGAGUGUUUUGUAAUGUUAAUACAGGGUCAAUUAAAGCUAGAAUCUAACAGAGGUUAAAACAAUGCUUAAGGUAGGAGUACGAACCGUAAAUAUUAGGUAGAGUGUUAAGGGCGAAGGCAUUUAUCCAAUGAAGAUUGACGCUGAGAAACGAAGGUGAGGGCAGAAAAAAGGAUUAGAGACCCUUGUAUUCCUCACUGUCAACGAUGAAUGGUAGUUACUAGGGAGAAAUAACCUAGAUACGAUGUUAACACGAAAACCAUUCCGCCUUGUGAGUACGACUGCAAAGUUGAAAACAAAAAAAUUAGUCGGUUUCGGAGCAAACGAAGUGAAGCAUGUUAUUUAAUUCGAUAAUCCGC